rnacentral:rRNA from 1 species
GACGAACGCUGGCGGCGUGCUUAACACAUGCAAGUCGAACGGAAAGGCCCUGCUUUUGUGGGGUGCUCGAGUGGCGAACGGGUGAGUAACACGUGAGUAACCUGCCCUUGACUUUGGGAUAACUUCAGGAAACUGGGGCUAAUACCGGAUAGGAGCUCCUGCUGCAUGGUGGGGGUUGGAAAGUUUCGGCGGUUGGGGAUGGACUCGCGGCUUAUCAGCUUGUUGGUGGGGUAGUGGCUUACCAAGGCUUUGACGGGUAGCCGGCCUGAGAGGGUGACCGGCCACCUUGGGACUGCGAUACGGCCCAGACUCCUACGGUAGGCAGCAGUGGGGAAUAUUGCACAAUGGGCGGAAGCCUGAUGCAGCAACGCCGCGUGCGGGAUGACGGCCUUCGGGUUGUAAACCGCUUUCGCCUGUGACGAAGCGUGAGUGACGGUAAUGGGUAAAGAAGCACCGGCUAACUACGUG